GGUGGGGUGAGAGAGGUUUGCUGCUUUGCAUGGAGGAUCUUGUGCCGCAGCAUCACUUGUGACUCUGAGAUUACAGCAGCUGCUUGUGCUGUUUUGUGAUUUUUUUGGGGGUUGUUUUUGCCCUGGCUGAGUGGGAGCCUCUCCGCGGGGGGGCGCUGCUGUUGCCAAAGUUUUCUUUGCAGGCCCUGGGGCGCUUGGACGGUCUGGCUGGGACCGGUGUGUGCAAGGCUAGCGUUCCCCGGAGCAGACCCGUCUAGUGCUCUGGCCGCUGCUGCUAGAAGAGUUUCAUUGCUCUCCAUGCCCUGUGUCAGCUGAGCGGAUGGGGGGAUAUCUGAGGCUGUGAGGUGGGUGAGUACCCCCCUGCUUUGCCUCCCAGCCCUAGGCAUGCGGUAAGGGAAGGGAGGAGCAGUGCUUGCUAGUGACUUUCCACCCUGAAGAUGUUAGAAACCCAGAGGGGAAUAUGAUGUAUUCUCUUGUUAGUGGCAUUCCUUAAAAUCCAGAUCUGGCUGAUAGCUGUCAAUAUAAAGUGUCCCCCCUUUUAAAAAAAGGGUUGUGAUCCCUAUGGGCUGAGUAAGCUAGGCACUGUGCCUUGCUCUGCUAAUCAGAACCUGACAUGUUGCAUAAUUCUAUCACCAGUCAUUUAUGUGUUACCAGUUUCCAAAAGACCGUGGCCCACAAGUUCAGGUAUGUCUUAAUUUUUGGGUGCACUGGGCACCAAAGUCUUCUCAUCCUUCUUUAGUCCCCCAGAGCACACAAAAUCCGCAACACUUUUUGAAAAUGUGGUUGCAUAUCCCAUUGCAGAAGUGCUUCCAUCUUGUAAAUUUGCCAUCAGGGCAUGUGAUCUCAUCUCUAGCCCACAUGUGGGAGGUUAAUAUAUUAGCAGAGUUACUUGAAUGCUAUGUUAAAACUCAACCAGUAUUUUGAUUUUGUUUUGCACUGAAAUGUAUAUCUAUAUAUCUCAAAUCUAAGCUAGAUGGAAUCUUCUUAAACUCUCCAAUUUCUCAGCCUACUUUGUUUUCUUAAUUGUAUUCCUGGUAAUGUAUUUGUGAGUAUUAAAAGUAUCAAGAGCGCACAGUGGAGAGACUGGCUGUGGAGGUGGAAUCAUACAUUAUUCUUGAGAUGGGGGAAAUUCAAGCUUCAUUCCGUCUCUUGUGGCUCUGGAUAAGCUGUUUGAUAUCUAGGCUCCUGGCUGUAGAAUGGCUGCCUCUUUCCGCUAUGGAGUGACCAUCACUGGAGCUAUCCUGCUGGUGACAGGAACGCUUUGUUUUGCCUGGUGGAGCGAUGGCGAGGUGGGACCCACGUCUAAUAAUGAUGCUAUGGCUGUGCCUCAUGGAGAAGCCAAAGUGGUGCCAAACUCCUCCUCCUCUAAUGCACUGCUCAGGUCUGUCAGCUUCUUCUGCUGCGGCAUCGGUGGCUUCCUCCUCCUCUUUGGGCUUCUGUGGUCAGUGAAAGCAAACGCUCGGGGGAUGUCUCGACACUAUCAGUACCACUUCUCCAGAGACCUACACUACUUCACUGUGGAACCUCUUGAUAAAAGGAUGUGCAGUGUCUGGGAUGCCAAUGCUGUCCCCACCUAUGAAGAAGCCCUGAACUGCAGGCCUGCUCAGAGUACCCUAAAUUAUAUACCGCCUUAUGGCGGGAAGGAGGAGACUUCACCCCCUCUAUAUGGAGACUUAGAUGAGGAUGAUACGUGGCCAGGUUGUCGCAGACGCAGCUCCUCAGACAGUGUGCUGCUCAGGACCGUGCCAUCCAGGAGGGAAACAGAGUCCUGGGGCGAGCCCAGUGCUACACCACCGCCCAGCUAUGAAGACAUCAGUGUACAUGGUGUAUGAUCUACGAACCACAUACAAUGCGUUGGACUCUAUAGAUUGCUGCCUAGUCUGUAUGCUUUGGAACCGGCCCUUUCCUUCUCUAAAUAAUGAUCAUGAAGUGAGAGGGGAAACAUAGAUCAGCUAUUCAGAUCAAAAUGGCUGUUCUGGAGUAAAUCCAGAAUAAUUACAGUAAAUCCAGAUAAGCUCAAUGCUGCCAUUUUCUGAGUUGUGUGGAUAAUCAGUAUGUUUUAAAGCUUUCAUAUAUUUAAUACAAUCACUGAAGAUUGCAAAUAUUUGACAGGUAGCAGGACAGAGGAGAAAAUAUUUUUGAGUACAUAGGAUGCCUGUUGAAAUGCACAGGGAAAUCUUUACUAGAGAGAUCCAGCCAAGCCUAGCAUCUUAGGGUAACAUUUUCAUAACAGCCUGGUGACUUAGGUGCCUAAGUGCCAUCUUAAGAAAUGAUUUGGUCACUAAGGAGGCUUAGCUGCAUUGCCGCUCAAUGACACCAGCUAAGAUUCUCAGUAGUGAUUUUUGGGUGCCCAGCAUGAGCCACCUUAAAGAGGUUUGAUUUUCAGACAGUGCUGAGCACCUCGCCUCUGAAAAACAGGCUCUUAAGGAGCCUCAGGUUGAGCACCACAAACUUGAGACAUCCCAAAUCACCAGUUUCUUUUGAAAAUCUUGGCCUUAGUUCCUAGGUGCUGAAUGUACUUUUGACGUUUCCCUAAGUCACCAGGGACCGAUGUUGCUCUGGUAGAUAAGCGCGCUGGGGCUUAAGCCUUACCCAACCAUUGAUCGUGAGCUGAACUGCUCAGCACCUCUGAGAGAGAGUGAGAGACUGUGUGUGUGUGUGUGUGUGUGUGUGUGUGUGUGUGUGUGUGUGUGUGUGUGUGUGUGUGUGUGUGUGUGUGUGUGUGUGUGUGUGUGUGUGUGAAAUGUGCUUACUUCAAUAGAUUGUUCCCCAGGAACAAAAAGAAACCAGCUUCCCUGUUUUGCGAGCAACGCAAGACAAAACUCUCCCAAAUAAUGUUUUGUGGGGAAUCCUUGAUACUAAUUAGCUAGGGCAGUGCUUUAUAAUCUGAGUGGUUUGUAUUCAGCCUGCUGUCCCUCUAAAUCAGUCACUUUGCUGCUGUAUCAUGGAAAACCCAAGUGUCUUGGUGUUUCAGUCCCUCCAGAAACAGCUGUGGGUCACACUCCUGGUGAUUGCAGGAGAGUGGGGGAAGGGUAGCGUUGUCGCUGUCAUGGAUGGCAGUGAUGACUAGCCAGCGUACUUUGUGACUGCCAUUCGCCAUACACACGGACACAAAUGUAGGAAGUGCAGAGUUCUCACUGUCGUGGGAAAUCACACACAAGGCAGCAGGAGAUAGCAAUCCGGUAAAAUCACCAUGGUGAUGCCCAUAUCAAAGCAUUAACAGGAGGGAAGCAAUCAAGCAGCUUCAGGGAAUCAAAAUUUAUGGCCAUUUUAGAGCGAGACUAAGCUAGCUCCUCAGACAGUGUAAAUUCGCAGAGUGCCAUGGCCACAGAAGAACUACGCUGAUUACACCAGCUAAGAAUCUGUCCCCCAGCCUUUGGAGUGUUGCCUCUUUAGUUGAAAGUCUGCUAAGGAGUUCACAGCAGCGAGCGCUCCCCAGAGCUUACAGUAAAUGCUUCACAGUCGGACUGGGAUUGUGUAAAAGAAUUUGUAGUUGCAAAAUAAAAAUCUCUCAAAAUUGUUGCGAAAUUUUAGGCAUUCCCCGUGUGAGGGAAUUGACAGCUUCCUGCUUGGGAUCUCUGCGAUUCUGUGUGCGUUUGCAUAUACAGACUCUCUAGAGGCAUGAGAUGAGGAAGAGUAGCUUGUAGUCAUUGCUUUUGUGUGAGUGGUGGGGUUGCGGGGUCUCUGUUUCCUAGUAAAUGUAUUCCUCCUUCAUGGCUGGGCUUGUCUCCUCCUAUUUCUUGGGCUGGGAGGGGUUGGGUUUUUGUUUUGUUUUUUAAGGAAUUUUUGCUUGGUUCUUUUGUUGUUUGUUGUUGCAAACUGAAGUUAAUGGACAAUCUUCCAUCCACAAAAAGAUUAAAGCAAAAAUAAAGCAUAUGCUGUUGUCAUAAACAGAUAGUCAAGGGUUAAUAGAACAGAAGUACUUCAUGUCUCUCCUGCCUGUAAAGGGUU